UACGAAGGGAGCUAGCGUUGUUCGGAAUCACUGGGCGUAAAGCGCACGUAGGCGGAUUUGUAAGUCAGGGGUGAAAUCCCGGGGCUCAACCUCGGAACUGCCUUUGAUACUGCAAAUCUCGAGUCCGAUAGAGGUGGGUGGAAUUCCUAGUGUAGAGGUGAAAUUCGUAGAUAUUAGGAAGAACACCGGUGGCGAAGGCGGCCCACUGGAUCGGUACUGACGCUGAAAUACGAAAGCGUGGGGAGCAAACAGG
rnacentral:rRNA from 1 species